AAGACAGAAAGUCCGUUGGAACCGUCUGCUGCACCCUGGUCUCUGGAGAUGAGGCAGGAGGGCUUGGGGACAGCUGGGGACACGGCCCAGAUGAUCCGGUCCCGGCAGAAGUGACUGGCGGGGACCAGGAUGCUGGAGGGUCAGCUCGAGGCCGGGGAGCCCAAGGAGGGCACCCACCCAGAGGACCCGUGCCCGGGAGCUGGGGCUGCCAUGGAGAAGACACCUGCAGCAGCCGAGGUCCCCAGGGAGGACGGCAAUGCCGGGGAGAUGCCGUCAUUACAGCAGCAGAUCACCAGACUCCACCAAGAGCUCGGGAGACAGCAGUCGCUGUGGGCUGAUGUUCACAGAAAACUCCAGAGUCAUAUGGAUGCCUUGAGGAAGCAGAACCGGGAGCUCCGAGAAGAGCUGAGAGAUCUGCAGCGGCAGCAGUGGGAAGCCGGGAAGAAACCAGCAGCGUCCCCACACGCGGGGCGAGAAUCACACACUCUGGCAUUGGAAUCUGCUUUUGGAAAAAUUUCACCUCUGUCAGCUGAUGAAGAGACAACGCCCAAAUACGCUGGCCGCAAGAGUCAGAGUGCCACUCUCCUGGGACAAAGAUCGUCAUCUAACCACUUAGCUCCUCCAAAGGUGACCCUUCGUGCUUAUCGUCUGUAAAGAGCAGCAGAGCUUCUGUAUGCAAACACACACAUCCCAUCAGCUCCUCACCACACAGUUUCACCUCCCUGGGUGAGCGUGGUGCUCCCUGGAGUCCUGCGUUUUUCCAAGGACAUGGGUGCAUGCCUUUCAAACAAGAUCCUAAACCACAGCACUUCCUGCUGUAGGGCAGAUUCCAAGUCCUCCCAGCUGCUUCCCUCUGAGUGCACUCACGGCAGCAAGUGUCUGGCUGGGGCCGAGUGGACUCGGGGGCUUUGUUUCCGUGGGUGCCACCCACGGAGGUGAUAUGCGUGGCGCUCUCGCCACGCGCCAUGGCCCGUGCGUCUGGGGGCUCGCAGCCUCCCACAAUCCCUGCUUCUGCACUGCGGUCUUGCACCUGCUGCUUGUCAGCGUGGACUCCUCUGAACAGGGGCUGUGCUGCUUGCUUGGGGGCCAUGGUGCAGGAUGCUAUUUUGUCUCCAUCACAUUUUUCCUUGUUAAAAUUAGCUCCUCUUUAGAACAUUCUGCUGGCCAGUGUGUCUCUUCCCGUCCCAGCUUUGUGUCACCCUCACACUCAGGAGGCAAAUCUCAUGAGUCCUGAGCGAGCAACUGAUACUGGGUCGAUGUGGAUGGAGAAGACUGCCCCCCAACUCCUGAAGAUGAUUUAUCCCCUCACUUCUUUCCCAAAGCAACUGCUGAGCAGAUAACACUUUAUUCCCUGAAGGAAGAUCAGAAAUCUACUCCAAGCGUUUGUCACAAGUAGGAAAAUAGUCCUUUCAGAUCCUAUGAGUACAAAACAUCGAAAGUCCCAGGACAGACUGCAUAGGUCCAGCCUCCUGUGAGACGCGGACUUCUCUCACGCUUCUGCAUUGACCUGAGUUAAUCACACGCGUGCCGGGCAAUGUACGAGUAAAUAGAUAACUGAAUGGGUGGCUUAUCCACGCCUCCAAACCCUGAAUUUUUAAACAGCAGAAAAGUAGAACAUUAUUUUCAUUAUGCAUUUUUGAAUUGAGUUUCAAGUACUUUAUUUCACUGUUGACUAUUCUACAAUGUCAGCCAUACCGUCCCUGAAUUCCUCAAGAGCGUGGCUGUAAAAUGGGGAAUGAGAGCAUGGAUGCCUCGUGUGUCCUUCUGUAGGAAGCGGGGGUAGAAUCCUCUAGAUUCUGUGGUAGCUGGUGUGAUGUGUUGCUUAACAUUUUAAAAUAAUAUGAUGGUUACUAAUGCAACCACAUUUAUUUUCAGCCAAUGAGUUUAAAGACAGAAAGAAUUAACUCGGGGAAAACAUCACCACAGGAAGACAGAGAGAAAAGUCCUCCCGGGAGACGUCAAGACAGAAGUCCAGCACCCACUGGAAGGCCGACUCCCGGUGCAGAAAGACGGGGGGUGUCUGAAGACGGAAAGGUGACCUGGGAAACCUGGGUCACGCUACACUGGCUGAGUGGAAACUUCAGAUUCAGAUGCAGUUCCACUUAGGUCUAAUAAGAGAACUCAAUUUGUUAUUCAAAAUAGACCUAGUGGUUUAUUAACCUAAUCAUGUUUCUAUAGAUAAAACCUUAAAUUUCUUCAGACACGUGUUUAAUGCUAAAAAAGCAAACAACUUGAAUUGGGUUUUAAAAAUCAAUUACUUUCCCGAGCUCCGUAAUUGGUAUAUUUCUGCAGAGUCUUUACAAGAAUUGAUCUACCUUGUAGUGCUGAGCUCAGGGCUGUUGGGUGAGCCCUGGGGUCUUGCUGGAAAUUGUGGAUGGCUGAAGAUGGCUUCGUGCUCCCAGCCUUUGGGCUCGAGGCAUUGCCGGCUGCAGGGACCUUGUUACAAGGGGGGCCUCUGACUGUCUUUGCCCCAGGUUAUGCAUCCAUCUUCCCGAAGUCCGCAAAACUCCAGUGGCAGAAAAUCACCAGUGCAGGCUUCCCAGGCCCCCACGCUGCAGAAGCAGACGGCAGCAGCCGGAGGAGCUGACAGAAGCUCAUCAGUCUUAGGGAGUUCUGAAGGCGGAUUUCUCAGCCGCGUUCAAGCUGACGAGUUCGCCAGUUCUUCCCCAGACAGUGCAGAGCGGCAG
rnacentral:sRNA from 1 species